CGCGCAGGCGGCAUGGCAAGUAAGGUGUGAAAUCUCCCUGCUCAACGGGGAGGGUGCAUUUUAGACUGCCAAGCUAGAGGACGGUAGAGGGGGGUAGAAUUGCUGGUGUAGCGGUGAAAUGCGUAGAGAUCAGCAGGAAUACCCGUGGCGAAGGCGGCCCCCUGGGCCGAACCUGACGCUGAGGCGCGAAGGGCUAGGGGAGGCAACG
rnacentral:rRNA from 1 species